GUUUUUUUUUGUUCUCAUUGUGGUCGAUGAGAUUUGACUUGGCAAUGGAGGAUCCCAAGCCGUUGGCGCAGAACAUGUCCUUUAGAAAUGCCAACAGUGACUCGAUGGCGUGGGAGGAUGGUAAAUCCCCCAGCACGCGACGGAGGAGCACAACAGCAGGGCCAUCGAAGAGAUCGAUGACAAUUGAGACUGAGGCAUUGGGGCUGGGCCACGUCAUUUGUGCCAUAGCAUAAUUUUUAAGUCGAAGUUGUUGAUGAGUUCUAUGUCGUACCCGACACCCAUAAGAUAUGUAAAUACGUAAGCCCACUGAUUUCAAGCCUUUAGCGGGCAACAUAGUCAACACGCGUGGUGCCUCGGCAGCGAGGUGUUCCUCUAGGAUCAGAAGGUCCGCACAUAUGGCGGCCACCUCAUCCUCAUCCGAUAGUGAGGACACGAUAUUUCUCUUUUUGGCCCUACACUCCUCGAGCUCCAUGAGAUAUGAGGAUGGGCUUAAGCGGGGAUGCUUUGGAGUAGUGGAUCGGGAUUUCUGGGCAAGAGGGGGUUCCGCAGGCGCCAUCUAAGCAGUUCAGGUCAACGAGGGGAUUUAGACCGGUCGGUUACCUGACUCUAUCAAGGAGGCACGGGUAGACCGGUUGCUUCCUCUAAACUAGGAAGGUGUUGAACCCCCAAGUGCAAGGGUUUGUAGUAAGCAAUAUUUUUUUCUCUCAAAGUGAAUAACCUUAAGUUUGACGAAAAAGGGUCCGCCAACCCUCGCUUUAUAUAUAAAGCAACCAAUCACCGAAUCCGAUACAAACGCACGCCACCACAACACACACAUCCAAGACUGGAUACAAAGGCGCUGAAAAACAUCAACACCACCCCAAACAAGUCCAAGCAAACAUCAUGUAAAACACUAAGCACUAUUAUGGACUCAUCGGGGCCCUCAACCGUGGACAAGCCACCACAAUGAGGCGAAGCCGUGCAUGAUGAACCAUGAGCUCCAAGGCGGCAUCUUUCAGGAAGGAAACGACAUCGGAGCGCCGCCACCGCUCAAUCCAAGGACCAGGUUUCCCCCAGAGCACCAUGACAACGCCUUCAAGAGACGCCAGAACGGCGCCGCCGUAGGCCUAACAAGUCAGAGCGGGUUUUCACCCCAGCCAACACUCACCGUCACCAAAUUCGAACGUGCCUGCGGACAUUUAUGAGUCAUAUUUGUCUAGUCCGGUUGUAGAUGCUCUAACUCGUUUAGUUUGACGAGUUAAAAAAAUCGCUUGCAAAAAUAACUUUAUUUCUUGAUUACUUAAUUCUACUUGCUACUCUUUGAUUUAUGUCAUAUUUAGCUAGAACUUUAUGGAAAGCACCAUGAAUGAAAUGUGAACCAUCAUCAAUUAUUAAAUAUCUAGACUCCAAACCUCAGAAAACUAACUUCUUCUGGUUAUAAAAUAGGAAAAAUGAAAAAUCCUUGUUAUCAUUCCUUCCGUUUGGAAACUGGUGGUUCCUCCUAGGAUUCAUGUUUUUCUUUGAUUUUGUUUAAUACCAAGCUGAUGACUAGGUGUUAGAAUAAAUUCGAGGUACGCGGUCGAUCCAUCGAGGAAGCAAUCACCGACAAUGACGACACCGAGAUUUGUUAACGAGGUUCGGCGAACUCGCCUACUCCCCAGGGCAAUGACUACGGGCGCUCCUCCCCGAGAUACCACAACACCAGCCACCCGGGCGCCGGCACAAGCCGCUAGCACCCCCUUGCGAGCCUGUCGCUAUCUAGUCGUCAUAGGUUACAACGUGGGGUGCCUCCUCAUAUAUAAGAGGCCAAGGGUACAACGUGUCCGACUCCGGCACUGCAAGUAUCCUACCCACACUACAACACCAAGUCCAAACGUAACCCAACUCGUACACAAUAUUCGACACAAACACAACAAAUUCCACCUUGGCGAAUAUUCUCCACCACCUUGAAUUUGUCCAUGCGUCAAAUUUCCAUGUACUCCGGACUUGUGUUGUCUUCUUUGUAGCUUACUGAGAGCUACUCGACGAGUCUGCCCCAGACCCGCCGCCACCGUGGAACCCCGCUACUACUCCCGCAACUCCAGUCUCCGUGACUCCACCUGCAAUAGUGCUCCCUUGCAACUUGUAAAGAUGCGAAGCCGUCCUCUCUCCAAUCAUCACGGUCACCUCAUCUUCCAUGAUUCUCAUGGUCUUCCUAUCCCGAUCACAACGGAAUACCAUACCACCAUCAUGAAGAACACCAAGCGAAAUUAGAUUCCUCCUUAGCCCUGGCACAUGCCUGACUCCCCGAAGCAUCCGCUCAAUUCCGUCAAACAUCUUGAUUUUGAUGUCACCUACUCCAGCAACACGAUAACCUAUGUCAUCGCCCACAUAGGCUAAAUUAAACUUACCAGACUUGUACGAAGAGAACCACUCCCUGUUGGGUGUCGCAUGAAAAGAGCAAGCUAAAUCCAACAUCCAUGCUUCACCUUUGGUUGACCGCCUAUCUAAUACUACGAGAACAUCACUACUGCUGUCUGAAUCAUCACCAUGAGUUGCCUUAUUAGCACUUGCCCCACCAUUGAGUUCUGGACAGUCCUUUCUCAUAUGUCCCCACUGCUUACACUUGUGACACUGUAUAUUCCUUUUCUUUUUCUUGUUCUUUCCUGCCUCAUAUCCCUUCCGCCACUCCUCACCCUUGACUAGCAAACCUUCACCAUGAGAGACUUCCACCGCAUUCUUCUUUCUCAUAUCAUAAGAUAGCAAUGCCGCAGUAAUAUCCUCAUUCUUGAUGGUCUCCUUGCCAUGCGUCAACGUAGUGAUCAAAUGGUCAUAGGAUGAUGGCAAUGAACAAAGAAGCAGAAUUGCCCUAUCCUCGUCGUCAACCGUCGCACCCAAGCAUGCUAGUCACAACUUGAUUAAAGGCGUUCAUAUACUCCACAAGAUCUGACCCCUCCUGCAUCCUCAUCCCAUACAACUUUUGCUUCAGAUACACCUUGGUCAUCGCAGUCUUGGACAUAAACUGACUUUCCAGCUUCUCCCAGAUCUUCUGCGGCGAAUUCUCAUCCAUUACAUGAUAAAUAACCUGGUCCGACAGACACAACCGUAUAGUCCCAGCUGCUUUCAACUGUAACUCCUCCCAGUCAUCAGCCUCCAUCUUAGCUGGCUUGGCUUCCUGCAACAACGCCUUCAAACAUCCCUGUUGUGCCAACAAAUCUUUCACCCUUGUCUGCCAUAACCCAAAGCUUUCACUUUCGUGGAACUUCUCCACCUCAAACCUGGUACCCGAUGACGCUAUGGUUCUUUAUACAGCUGAACCUGUGAAAAAUAACCGAGUAGUCUUCCAGUGAUCCCCAAGUACAAGAACAGAACCUCUAUCUACUACUAGCAAUCUAGCUAGUUGGUCUUCACGUGAAGUGCUCCCUUGGCUCAACUUCCGUAUGCUAAGCUAUUUGCUUUCCUGCCAAAGCCUCUACUCUCGAUGGAUGCGUAGCCCCUGAUGGAUUUUCUCUUGCGCCGAUUUCGAUCUGAUCUGUUGUCUCUGUCUGGUGUGCGUCCCUGCGGCUGCCUUUUAAUGUGCGCUUGCACGCUAGCAGUCCGGCCCGGACACGAGAGCGAACUCUCCAAGGACUCGGUCCCUCUUUUGUUUCCAAAACAAACUCGGUCAUAUGAUGGCAAUCAGUCCGGUUCUUUGGCACUACAAGUAUCCUACCCACACUACAACACCAAGUCCAAACGUAACCCAACUCGUACACAAUAUUUGACACAAACACAACACUAGGAACAAUCUCAAAAGGAGCAAUAUCAAAAACCGUGAAGAUUGUGUGUACAGUUCUUGCAGUGAAUCCUCAUCUGUUUUUUGAUUGCAUAAUGGCCAAGACACAUUUGGGCUAAAGCUAGUGAUUUCUUUAAUAGGGAAUGUUGAGUCUCUUGUCUCCCUGCUAGUGGCUGGUAGUAAGCUAGAUGAUCUUAAUACGGUUAGUGCUGUUAUUCUUUGGCCCAGUGGAAACACAUGAAUAGCAUCAUCUUUAACGGUGCUACUUGGAUCUCUCUGUACCAGAUUUGGUCACUAGUUUUGAGAUUUUUAAGGAGAUAGAGUUUGAUCUUCAAGGAGCACAUGCCUACUCAGCUUGAAGAUUUCUAUCCUUGGGUUACUGCAAAUGAUCCAGACCUCUUUCCAUAGUGGGUGGUGGUGAAGCUAUCUUCAGGCACUUUUGAUCGAGAUGGAGAUCGUUUGGAGGCAGAAGAUGAGGGCUACUGGCCCCUGGAUCCAAGGCGAGCCCGAUGUCUACUCUGAUGUGGCGUGCUUCGCUUCACCUUUUUUUUUUUUGCGAUGGAAAUAGAGUGUUUAUUCCAAACUCAUAGAAUUGGAACCCUCAUUAACAAGUUCAGAAAAUAAAAAAGGAGGGGAUUGGUUAUUAAGCUAGCACGCAAUACUAUCCCCAAAUCUACCUUCCUAAGCAAUGUGCAACUUUGUUUUGAUCAUGAGAAACUUUAACCUGAACAAACGCAUGUCUUUGUUUAUCUUUCGCACUUGUCAGUGCACUCUCUGUGAUUGAGUAAUGAAGUAAUGUUAAUUUGGCUAGGUCCUCUUGAUCAGGAAUGGACAUUAGUUUGUUUUUCUUUCUCCGAAACUUUUAGCUGUUUGUAAGAUGUUAUGUAAAAGGAUUUGUCUAGGACACAUCUAGAUGUGAGUUAUUGCACAUCUAAGUGAGUGAAUCAAACUAGAAAGAAAAGGAAAGAAGACAAAAAAAAAUACUUGCACGAAUCUUAGCAUAAAAUCAAUGACAUAGGACUUAGAUGUGCAAUACUUAGAGCACAUCUAGAUGUGCUUUAGCAAAACUGUAUAUAAAAUGAAGCCGGAAGCUCCCCUCGUUUUAUAUUAUAUUAAAAAAAAUAACAAAUCCAGUGGGUAGCGCCUCGAUCGAAAAGGAAAAGGAAAAAUGCACCACUCGGGCGACUUUCGCCUAAACAAACUCCACGCACGACGACACCCAAAUUAAAUUCGCGGCCGGCGCCCGCACAGAAACCACGUGCGGAUAGUAAACAAAAGCGGACGAACGAACAAACAAACAAACAAAUCCGGCAGGCGGGCCCACGCCGCACCGUGACCUGCCGAACCGCGGAACCCGCCCACGCAACCGCGUCCGUCCCGCCCGGUCGCUGAGCGCCGGGCCCCACCUGCCAGACCCGGAGCAAACGACGCGAGCUCCCUCCCUCCCACCAUCGCGUAGCUUCCUCCCCUCUCCCUCCUCCUCCUCCUCUCCACGCGCCCGAACUAACCAACUAGAGCGAGCUCCCCUCCCCGCCCCGCCCCGCCCCGCCCUUCCCGCCGCCGGCGACCGGAGGCUCCCCCGCGCGCGCGCGCGCCCGCCCCGCCGUCGCCUCCCCGGCCCCCGGCUCCACCCCGUGGCCCGUCGCCGGCGAGCCGCCGGCUGCGAGGAAGGAGGCAGGCGCGGCGCUCUGCGCACCACUGGUUCGGGGCUCCUGAUCCGCUUUCUGUUUUGAUUUUUUCCCCGGUGACGGGUUCAUGAUUUUUACAGUUACAGUUGGAGGCGGGCUGUAGGAUUUGGAUCUGCGCGGACGGGAGUUUUAGGGAGGGAGGGAGGGCGCAGAUUCAGGAAUUCGCAUGAUUGAUUGGCUGACGGUUAGGGGAAGAGAAGUAGGACGAUUGCCGGAAUGGUAUCGAGGCCGCCCCUGUAGCUAGAUCCCGUCGCCUGGGGAGAGGAGGGGUGGUCGGAUCGCUCCGCUGCCUUGACCCCGGAGAACCGCCUCCGCUUGGGGCUGCGAGAGGAAGGCAGUUGGGCUGCUUGAUUCGAGUCAAAUAAGCAGGGGGCUGAUUCUGAAUUCCUAAUAGCUACAGUACUGUAGACCGACAUGAAUUUGGGUUAUGGUUCAGAUGUUUUUCGACCAACCUAUUAGAACAUUCCAUAUCCCCCCUGUACGAUUUAUGUGCCCUCGAGCAGCCCAAAAUGGUCUGUCCAAAACGUAGUGGUUUAGCUACGACGCACUGAUAUGGUGACAUGGAUACAAGGACGUGGGAUAUGGCGAGUACUUAAUGAAGUGCCCUGUAAUAAAAACAGAAUAAUUGGAUGCGUGAGAGAUCAAAAUACUGCCCCAUUUGUUGCUUCCAUUCCUCCUUUUUCGGCUUCUUUGAUGAUUGAAUGAUCAUCGAUUUCCUCAAUCAUCAUGGUACCUUUAAGUUGUAGAAAGAGCCCAUAGAGGAUGUUUCUGAUUGGCAAUACCAGCCCCAUUCUCUUCAAUAUCAACACUGAUACUGUUGUUUAUACUCCCACCAACUGAAGAUUGGCUGCCUGCAGAUGCCAUGUCGGUAUGUCACUCCCUAGCCAGCACAGCAGCAACAUCACUAGGUCAGCAGUAGCAAGCAGGAGCAUUAUACAGCAAAGCAUAGUGGUGACUCUGUACGGCAGCAAGCCGAAUCCAGGCGGCAACGGCGGGGGCGCGCUCGUGCAGUCGCCCAGUUGCUCUUGAUCCAAUCAGCCUGCCCCGGUCAAUUGAGCGAAUAGAGCAAGUGAGAGAGAGAGAGAGAGAGCUUGCUGUUAGGUUUAGGAGUGGGCAUCUACUGGGCUUACCAUGUCCCCGACGUGUCAGCAGCGUGCCGAUGGCCAUAUCGUCUUCCCAUGUCACUCUGGAGAUACGCGUAUCUGGCGUAUCGGCUGCGUAUUGUAACGGGCACGCCAGACCUGGCCGUAUUGGUGCUUCAUAGUCGUUUAGCAUCUAUUCUUAUGACGGAUUGUUAUAUUUUUGUGCUUCUACAUACACUUACUUCUUUAUUGUCAUGGACAGACAUGAUGGCAUACUUACUAUAAUAUUGUUACGUUGCAGAGAUGACUGCUUAAAUGGGAUAAUUAUAACACAAGGCAGUCUGGUGGUAUAUACCGAAGAAUCAGGUUUUAACCAUACGAUCACCAGAAACUAGAAAUGGAGGAUGGCCUUGAGCUUAGUUUAGGCCUCUCUUUGGGUGGUGGGUCUUCUGGGAAGUCUAAGGCAAGAGAUGCUUCUCUAGAGCCUAAAGCAGAACCUCAAGUGGAAGAGAGCAGUAGCAAAGGUGUCUCGCAACCUCCCGAUGCUCCUUUUGCGCAUUACUAUCAAGCAACUGCUGAGAACCAGGAACACAGUAGCAAGCAGAGGCAUAGCCCUGCUACCCCGCCGUUUGGAAACUUCUGGGGACAACACGGUGGCUCCUCUGCUCCAGUGGCAGAUGGAUCAAGUGAACUAAUAGCCCACCAAUCUCAGCUUCCCCAGUAUCAGGAGGGGCGGACUCCAAAUAAUAUUGGAAAUAAUUCGGAGGAAAACAUGCCAGUCUCAAGUAAAAGAAAGCUGCUUUCUGAAGAGACAAGUUUUCAGAAGAAGCAUCAUUCUGCUGCUGACCAGCCUGAUGCAUUCAGUAAGAGCUCUGAGGGAGGUGUGAAAAAUGCACCGAUUUCAAUUAGCACGGAUGAUGGUUCAACCGGUGAAAAUGAGGAGGUUGCAGACUCGGAAGCAGAAGGCUCUAACUCUUGGUUGGUUGCACAGCGUGAAGACAGUGCCAAGGGCUCUGUGGUAAACAGAGGAUCCGAUAUAAAGAGAUCCAGUGAUGAUGCUACAGGUGGAUUUCAAGGAAAGAGGCAACCGAGCUUUUCAGGAAGUGAAUCUAGCUCUGGAAAGUUGCCGCAUGGAAAUCCCUUACAAGCAUCGAAUGUAGUGACUGCGCAAUAUCAAGGCCAGACUCAGGUUUCAGCACCCCUGGGCAUAACUAAUGCACCCAAUUUUCCUCCAAUGUAUACAGUGCAAUUGAGGCCACCCGUAAACAAUGGACCUGCUGUCCAGGCGAUGGGUGGUGCCUCCCAGGUUUCUUUUGGUUACCCAACAGGUCAGCUACCAAUACUUGAAACAAGCUCUUCAUGGGCAUUUGGUACUCCGCCUCAGGCUAUUUCUUCCUUUGCCGAACGAGCAGGAGCCAAACAAGCUGAUGAUGGAAAGAAACCUCAAGGUUAGUUCACCUCGUAAUACUCUAAUUAUGUGCAAAUAAAUAUAGGAAAAGGUCAUGUUGCUACGGUACUCUAAUAUAUGCUGUAAAAUAACUCCUAUAUGUGUCUACCUCUCUAAAUGACAUCUGGAUUUGUUAGGUUAGAUAAGAACACUGAGUUGAAAUACUUGGUCUGGAUAUUUCAGUGAAGAGUUUUAGUCUACUGUCCAGUCCCAAAUGUCCUUGUUUAUUAGUUUCUCCUUCAGUUUGGUAUGACAGAAGCAAUCUGGAGGUGUGUAGUUAGCUCGUCUAAUUCAGAACCACUUUAAUUACUACUCCCUCCGAUCCAAAAUAAAUGUCGCAGUUUUGAACAACCUUAGUUCAACGCAGCGACACUUAUUAUGGAUCGGAGGGAGUAUCUGUGAGCAGCACUGUCACUUCUUGAUAUGCAAGUGCUUUCCUGUAAUCUAGUAAGGUAAAAUGAACAUAGUUGAAAAGUAAUUCCUCAUUAAGCUUCUUGUGUGCACAGCUAUACCUUCUGUUUGUUUAAAAUUUGGAAAGUUAAUCGUUUCCCUUUCUCUUCUUUAUGAACUGCAGAGGCUGGCGCGUCCUCCUCUGCUCUUUUGGAGGAUGGUAAGGUUGUCGAGAAGGUAUUGCCUCUCAUGGGCUCGGGCUCUGGCAUAAGGCCGGGCAUCGCCCCAAAUGUCAAAUUCGGAGGGUCCGGAUCAUACCCCGAUCUUCCCUGGGUAUCCACAACCGGGACUGGACCAAGUGGCAGGACCAUAUCAGGCGUAACAUACAACUUCGGCAGAAACGAAGUGAAGAUUGUGUGUGCUUGCCAUGGCACACACAUGACGCCCGAGGAGUUCACGCGACACGCUAGCGUGGACGCCACGGGCCAGGAGAACAAUGCUACCAUGUCGGCGUUUCCUGUCGGGAAUCAAGCAGCAUCAGCCCAAAACUAAUUUGGUGGCCUGCGUGCCGGUUUCAUAGUGUGCUUGAUGUUCCCUUUGUGUCCAUAUCAUCAGUUCAGUAUAUUGUUGCUCUGUUGAUUCAAACCCUAUUGAUAUACAUUAUGUAGACAUGUGUCAUGUUGUAACUUUGGCUCCAUUGUUGUGAACGAAACUGAUGUAUUUAUUAUAGCUCCCUUUGCGUCUUCAAGGCAGAAUAAUAGUCCCUCUGUUCUUAUUUACUUUGUAUAUUAGGUUUGUCUAAAGUCAAACUUUAUAUACUUUCAACAAGUUUGUAGAAAAAUAUAGUAACAUAUACACUACCAAAUCAAUACCAUUGGAUUCAUCAUUGCAUAUAUUUUCACAUCAUAUACCAUUGUUACUGUAAAUGUUCAUAUUGUUUUCUACAAACUUUAUUAAGUUUGACUAAAUGUCUAAAUAUGCGGAGUAAAUAAAAAACGAAGGGAGUAUCAGACUACAGCCAGUGAAAUGGUGUGAUAGAGCUGCGUUGCCAUUUGGUGAUGAUGCAGGCAGAAUGAUAGCAGCAUACAUAUGCUUUCUUCUACAGAGUUUUGCAGUCAAACAAAUUUUUCAUCAUCCAUCAUAAACGUCUGCUAUUUAAGUUAAAUUUGCACCAUAUUAAAACAUUUUCGGAAGUACAACAUGGAUACCAAGUUCAACAUCAAAGUUUCACAUAAUCAAGAUGUCAUCUCCUGUGCGCUACAGCAUUUACGUUAGGAGGGAAUAUGAUGGUCCAUCAAUCUUUGACAGGUUAAGUGUCAAUUUUCUCUCAAUGCUAGCUCUGCUAGGCAGAUAAGCCAUCAAUCAGCGUUACACAACAGACCCGCCUUCAAGUGCUACAGGCUCUCGUUUAAUGGCCUCCGCCGGCUAGGUUUAACUAG
rnacentral:lncRNA from 1 species